UACGUAGGGUCCGAGCGUUGUCCGGAAUUACUGGGCGUAAAGAGCUCGUAGGUGGUUUGUCGCGUUGUCCGUGAAAACUCACAGCUCAACUGUGGGCGUGCGGGCGAUACGGGCAGACUGGAGUACUGCAGGGGAGACUGGAAUUCCUGGUGUAGCGGUGGAAUGCGCAGAUAUCAGGAGGAACACCGGUGGCGAAGGCGGGUCUCUGGGCAGUAACUGACGCUGAGGAGCGAAAGCGUGGGGAGCAAACAGG
rnacentral:rRNA from 1 species